rnacentral:rRNA from 1 species
AUUGAACGCUGGCGGCAGGCCUAACACAUGCAAGUAGAGCGGAGCGACGGACGGGUGAGUAAUGAAUAGGAAUCUGCCUGGUAGUGGGGGAUAACGUCAGGAAACGGGCGCUAAUACCACAUACUAUCAGAUGAGCCUAGGUCGGAUUAGCUAGUUGGUGGGGUAAAGGCCGAGCAAGGCGACGAUCCGUAACAGGUCUGAGAGGAUGAUCAGUCACACUGGAACUGAGACACGGUCCAGACUCCUACGGGAGGCAGCAGUGGGGAAUAUUGGACAAUGGGCGAAAGCCUGAUCCAGCCAUGCCGCGUGUGUGAAGAAGGUCUUCGGAUUGUAAAGCACUUUCGGUAGCGAGGCGUUAACUACAGAAGAAGCACCGGCUAACUCCGUGCCAGCAGCCGCGGUAAUAC